rnacentral:tRNA from 1 species
UGCCGCCAUAGCUCAGUUGGUAGAGCAGGGGACUGAAAAUCCCCGUGUCCUUGGUUCAAGUCCGAGUGGCGGCAUCC